AUUGAACGCUGGCGGCAGGCCUAACACAUGCAAGUCGAGCGGAGCGGCGGACGGGUGAGUAAUGCCUAGGCAUCUGCCUGGUAGUGGGGGAUAACGUCAGGAAACGGGCGCUAAUACCGCAUACUAUCAGAUGAGCCUAGGUCGGAUUAGCUAGUUGGUGGGGUAAAGGCCUAACAAGGCGACGAUCCGUAACUGGUCUGGGAGGAUAAUCAGUCAAACGGGAACUGAUAAACGUUCCAGACUCCUACGGGAGGCAGCAGUGGGGAUUAUUGGACAAUGGGCGAAAGCCUGAUCCCGCCAUGCCGCUUGUGUGAAGAAGGUCUUCGGAUUGUAAAGCACUUUAAGUUGGGAGGCGUUACCAACAGAAUAAGCACCGGCUAACUUCGUGCCAGCCGCCGCGGUAAUUC
rnacentral:rRNA from 1 species